AUUAAGUAACGGAAAGCUCUGCUAACAGCUGCUAUCACCGCUACACUUGCUAACACUGUAGUUUUAAAGUACGCUAAUCUACCGACCGUGCUGUCACGUCGUUCGUCGCCAUUAACCGCGGAAACGCAGGUCAUCACCUCUUCACUUCACCUGGGCAGGCCAGGUGUUCCUGGGAAUCCACGAGCUCCCUGUGAUGCAAGAGGAGAGACAACGCAUGAGGUUAAUAUACAGUCGAGGGAAAGAAGAUGAAGGAGGUCCAGGGGGGCCACGAGGACCCAUGGGGCCCUGUUAGUAGAAAAGAGAAAACAAGCAGAGGUAAACUCAGCUCCAGAGCACAAGUAUUUUCUGACACUGCACAAACUCCGAUGGCUGGGAUGCCCUUGAUGCUGUGUUUGCUUCUCCAAACAGAUGAGUUCAGUACAGCAAAUGUUUGACGAGAGCCUCACUUCCCAGCCAGGGAAAUAAACCAUCCUUGGCUGCAGUCAUAAUACUGCUUUCUC